GACGAACGCUGGCGGCGUGCUUAACACAUGCAAGUCGAACGGAAAGGCCCUGCUUUUGUGGGGUGCUCGAGUGGCGAACGGGUGAGUAACACGUGAGUAACCUGCCCUUGACUUUGGGAUAACUUCAGGAAACUGGGGCUAAUACCGGAUAGGAGCUCCUGCUGCAUGGUGGGGGUUGGAAAGUUUCGGCGGUUGGGGAUGGACUCGCGGCUUAUCAGCUUGUUGGUGGGGUAGUGGCUUACCAAGGCUUUGACGGGUAGCCGGCCUGAGAGGGUGACCGGCCACCUUGGGACUGCGAGACGGACCAGACUGCUACGGGAGGCAGCAGUGGGGAAUAUUGCACAAUGGGGCGAAGCCUGAUGAAGCAACGCCGCGUGCGGGAUGAAGGCCUUCGGGUUGUAAAACGCUUUCGCCUGUGACGAAGCGUGAGUGACGGUAAUGGGUGAAGAAGCACCGGCUAACUACGUG
rnacentral:rRNA from 1 species